UUAAGCGACUAAGCGUACACGGUGGAUGCCCUGGCAGUCAGAGGCGAUGAAGGGCGUGCUAAUCUGCGAUAAGCGCCGGUAAGGUGAUAUGAACCGUUAUAACCGGCGAUACCCGAAUGGGGAAACCCAGUGUGAUUCGUCACACUAUCAUUAACUGAAUCCAUAGGUUAAUGAGGCGAACCGGGGGAACUGAAACAUCUAAGUACCCCGAGGAAAAGAAAUCAACCGAGAUUCCCCCAGUAGCGGCGAGCGAACGGGGAGGAGCCCAGAGCCUGAAUCAGCAUGUGUGUUAGUGGAAGCGUCUGGAAAGGCGCGCGAUACAGGGUGACAGCCCCGUACACAAAAGCGCAUGUGCUGUGAGCUCGAUGAGUAGGGCGGGACACGUGGUAUCCUGUCUGAAUAUGGGGGGACCAUCCUCCAAGGCUAAAUACUCCUGACUGACCGAUAGUGAACCAGUACCGUGAGGGAAAGGCGAAAAGAACCCCGGCGAGGGGAGUGAAAAAGAACCUGAAACCGUGUACGUACAAGCAGUGGGAGCACAGGUUUACCUGUGUGACUGCGUACCUUUUGUAUAAUGGGUCAGCGACUUAUAUUCUGUAGCAAGGUUAACCGUAUAGGGGAGCCGUAGGGAAACCGAGUCUUAACCGGGCGUUAAGUUGCAGGGUAUAGACCCGAAACCCGGUGAUCUAGCCAUGGGCAGGUUGAAGGUUGGGUAACACUAACUGGAGGACCGAACCGACUAAUGUUGAAAAAUUAGCGGAUGACCUGUGGCUGGGGGUGAAAGGCCAAUCAAACCGGGAGAUAGCUGGUUCUCCCCGAAAGCUAUUUAGGUAGCGCCUCGUGAAUUCAUCUCCGGGGGUAGAGCACUGUUUCGGCUAGGGGGCCAUCCCGGCUUACCAACCCGAUGCAAACUGCGAAUACCGGAGAAUGUUAUCACGGGAGACACACGGCGGGUGCUAACGUCCGUCGUGAAGAGGGAAACAACCCAGACCGCCAGCUAAGGUCCCAAAGUCAUGGUUAAGUGGGAAACGAUGUGGGAAGGCCCAGACAGCCAGGAUGUUGGCUUAGAAGCAGCCAUCAUUUAAAGAAAGCGUAAUAGCUCACUGGUCGAGUCGGCCUGCGCGGAAGAUGUAACGGGGCUAAACCAUGCACCGAAGCUGCGGCAGCGAACGUAUCACUUAAAGCGAUUCAGCGGGUUACGAUUGACGGAGCGAAGCGACGUCAAAGCGUAUACAAAGUCGAGUCGGUUUAAGGAUACGUUCGUUGGGUAGGGGAGCGUUCUGUAAGCCUGUGAAGGUGGCCUGUGAGGGUUGCUGGAGGUAUCAGAAGUGCGAAUGCUGACAUAAGUAACGAUAAAGCGGGUGAAAAGCCCGCUCGCCGGAAGACCAAGGGUUCCUGUCCAACGUUAAUCGGGGCAGGGUGAGUCGACCCCUAAGGCGAGGCCGAAAGGCGUAGUCGAUGGGAAACGGGUUAAUAUUCCCGUACUUGGUGUUACUGCGAAGGGGGGACGGAGAAGGCUAUGUUGGCCGGGCGACGGUUGUCCCGGUUUAAGCGUGUAGGUGUGUGUUCCAGGUAAAUCCGGUUCACUUUAACACUGAGGCGUGAUGACGAGGCACUACGGUGCUGAAGCAACAAAUGCCCUGCUUCCAGGAAAAGCCUCUAAGCAUCAGGUAACAUCAAAUCGUACCCCAAACCGACACAGGUGGUCAGGUAGAGAAUACCAAGGCGCUUGAGAGAACUCGGGUGAAGGAACUAGGCAAAAUGGUGCCGUAACUUCGGGAGAAGGCACGCUGACACGUAGGUGAAGUGAUUUACUCAUGGAGCUGAAGUCAGUCGAAGAUACCAGCUGGCUGCAACUGUUUAUUAAAAACACAGCACUGUGCAAACACGAAAGUGGACGUAUACGGUGUGACGCCUGCCCGGUGCCGGAAGGUUAAUUGAUGGGGUCAGCGCAAGCGAAGCUCCUGAUCGAAGCCCCGGUAAACGGCGGCCGUAACUAUAACGGUCCUAAGGUAGCGAAAUUCCUUGUCGGGUAAGUUCCGACCUGCACGAAUGGCGUAAUGAUGGCCAGGCUGUCUCCACCCGAGACUCAGUGAAAUUGAACUCGCUGUGAAGAUGCAGUGUACCCGCGGCAAGACGGAAAGACCCCGUGAACCUUUACUAUAGCUUGACACUGAACAUUGAGCCUUGAUGUGUAGGAUAGGUGGGAGGCUUUGAAGCGUGGACGCCAGUCUGCGUGGAGCCAACCUUGAAAUACCACCCUUUAAUGUUUGAUGUUCUAACGUGGACCCGUUACCCGGGUUGCGGACAGUGUCUGGUGGGUAGUUUGACUGGGGCGGUCUCCUCCUAAAGAGUAACGGAGGAGCACGAAGGUUGGCUAAUCCUGGUCGGACAUCAGGAGGUUAGUGCAAUGGCAUAAGCCAGCUUGACUGCGAGCGUGACGGCGCGAGCAGGUGCGAAAGCAGGUCAUAGUGAUCCGGUGGUUCUGAAUGGAAGGGCCAUCGCUCAACGGAUAAAAGGUACUCCGGGGAUAACAGGCUGAUACCGCCCAAGAGUUCAUAUCGACGGCGGUGUUUGGCACCUCGAUGUCGGCUCAUCACAUCCUGGGGCUGAAGUAGGUCCCAAGGGUAUGGCUGUUCGCCAUUUAAAGUGGUACGCGAGCUGGGUUUAGAACGUCGUGAGACAGUUCGGUCCCUAUCUGCCGUGGGCGCUGGAGAACUGAGGGGGGCUGCUCCUAGUACGAGAGGACCGGAGUGGACGCAUCACUGGUGUUCGGGUUGUCAUGCCAAUGGCACUGCCCGGUAGCUAAAUGCGGAAGAGAUAAGUGCUGAAAGCAUCUAAGCACGAAACUUGCCCCGAGAUGAGUUCUCCCUGAGACUUUAGGUCUCCUGAAGGAACGUUGAAGACGACGACGUUGAUAGGCCGGGUGUGUAAGCGCAGCGAUGCGUUGAGCUAACCGGUACUAAUGAACCGUGAGGCUUAACCUU
rnacentral:rRNA from 1 species